CAGUCGAACGAGAAAGUCGGCUUCGGCCGAUGAGUACAGUGGCGCACGGGUGAGUAACGCGUGGGUAAUCUGCCCCCCGGUCAGGAAUAACCCGCCGAAAGGCGGGCUAAUACCCGAUAACACUGACGCUCUGCGGAGUGUCUUUCAAAGAAGGCCUCUGUUUACAAGCUUUCGCCGGAGGAUGAGCCCGCGUACCAUUAGCUAGUUGGCAGGGUAAUGGCCUACCAAGGCAACGAUGGUUAGCUGGUCUGAGAGGAUGGCCAGCCACACUGGAACUGAGACACGGUCCAGACUCCUACGGGAGGCAGCAGUGAGGAAUCUUGCGCAAUGGGGGAAACCCUGACGCAGCAACGCCGCGUGAGUGAGGAAGGCCUUCGGGUCGUAAAGCUCUGUCAGAUGGGAAGAAAUGGGUGGGGGUGAAUAUCGUCCACCCUUGACGGUACCAUCAGAGGAAGCACCGGCUAACUCCGUGCCAGCAGCCGCGGUAAUACGGGGGGUGCAAGCGUUGUUCGGAAUCAUUGGGCGUAAAGCGCGCGCAGGCGGCUUGGUAAGUCAGAUGUGAAAGCCCUGGGCUUAACCCAGGAAGUGCAUUUGAUACUGCCUCGCUAGAGUACGGGAGAGGAAAGUGGAAUUCCUGGUGUAGAGGUGAAAUUCGUAGAUAUCAGGAGGAACACCGGUGGCGAAGGCGACUUUCUGGCCCGAUACUG
rnacentral:rRNA from 1 species